GAUGAACGCUGGCGGCGUGCCUAAUACAUGCAAGUCGAGCGAACAGACGAGGAGCUUGCUCCUCUGACGUUAGCGGCGGACGGGUGAGUAACACGUGGAUAACCUACCUAUAAGACUGGGAUAACUUCGGGAAACCGGAGCUAAUACCGGAUAACAUGUUGAACCGCAUGGUUUAACAGUGAAAGACGGUCUUGCUGUCACUUAUAGAUGGAUCCGCGCCGCAUUAGCUAGUUGGUAAGGUAACGGCUUACCAAGGCAACGAUGCGUAGCCGACCUGAGAGGGUGAUCGGCCACACUGGAACUGAGACACGGUCCAGACUCCUACGGGAGGCAGCAGUAGGGAAUCUUUCGCAAUGGGCGAAAGCCUGACGGAGCAACGCCGCGUGAGUGAAGAAGGUCUGCGGAUCGUAAAACUCUGUUAUUAGGGAAGAACAAAUGUGUAAGUAACUAUGCACGUCUUGACGGUACUUAAUCAGAAAGCCACGGCUAACUACGU
rnacentral:rRNA from 1 species